CUACGGGAGGCUGCAGCUGAGGAAAUUUUACAAUGCUCGAAAGAGUGAUAAAAUGAGCCAGAGUGUUUCUCUAAGAGAAACUUUUAUCUGUUGUAAAAAGACAGAUGAAUAAGGACUGGGCAAGACCGGUGCCAGCCGCCGCGGUAAUACCGGCGGUCCAAGUUGCAUCCACAUUUAUUGGGUCUAAAACAUCCGUAGCUUGUUUUGUAAGUCUCUUGUGAAAUCUCAUAUCUCAAGUAUGAGGCGUGCAAGAGAUACUGCAUCACUAGAGACCGGAAGACGCAAAGAGUACGAUUAAGGUAGCGGUAAAAUGUGUUAAUCUUAAUUGGACUAACAAUGGCGAAGGCACUUUGCGAGCACGGUUCUGACAGUGAGGGAUGAAGGCUAGGGGCGCAAAAGGGAUUAGAUACCCUGGUAGUC
rnacentral:rRNA from 1 species